rnacentral:misc_RNA from 1 species
UGGCUCUCGCAUCGAUGAAGAACGCAGCGAAAUGCGAUAAGUAAUGUGAAUUGCAGAAUUCAGUGAAUCAUCGAAUCUUUGAACGCACCUUGCACCUCUUGGUAUUCCGAGAGGUACACCUGUUUGAGUAUCAUGUAAACCUCAACCAGUACUUUAUUGUUGCUGGCUUGGAAUUGGACAGUCUGUCGGGGUAGCUCGGCUCUGUCUUGAAUGCAUUAGUCAAAGUCCUCUAUUUACUUCUAUUGGCGUAGCAAGUCUUCGCUGCAGGGGGUAUUAGAGUGUUUGGCUCUCUAACACCACACUUUAAUUGGCUUGAUCUCAAAUCAGGUGGGACUACCCGCUGA